rnacentral:lncRNA from 1 species
AAAAACAAAGUUUAGAAACUACUAUAUGAACAUACUAACCCCACUGUAAAAACAGUUAUACAAACUAGCUUAUUUUCUAUAUUUCUGAAAGCAAUGCAUGUAUAUAACUAUACAUUUGAAAACAGUUGAAAACUAUCACCUAGGUGUACCCUUAUUUCCGUCAAAUCCUUAGAUCCGUCAAUUCCUUGCAUCACCAUGGGUGACACAU